GCUGCAUUCAGGAGUACCAACACUCUGCAGAGUUUAAGAGGGAAGCCAUCGACAUUGCUGCAAGUGGAUUUAUCGAUAGUUUCAAGAACUACAAGGUCUGCCUACUGAAGAUGAUGCCGUAUUUGGAGCUCCAAUCCUUCCAGCCUGAAAACAGCGAUGAAAAGGCUUCCUCAUCAGAUGAGGACUGAGCUUCCUCAUCCUUGAGCUAGGGAUUGAGGAGAGCAUCCACUAUC
rnacentral:lncRNA from 1 species